rnacentral:rRNA from 1 species
GAAGCGAACCUGCGAAGGCAAGCGGAUCUCUUAAAGCCGUUCUCAGUUCGGACUGUAGGCUGCAACUCGCCUACACGAAGCUGGAAUCGCUAGUAAUCGCGGAUCAGAAUGCCGCGGUGAAUACGUUCCCGGGUCUUGUACACACCGCCCGUCACACCAUGGGAGUCAGUAACGCCCGAAGUCAGUGACCUAACCGAAAGGGAGGAGCUGCCGAAGGCGGGACGGAUGACUGGGGUGAAGUCGUAACAAGGUACC